GGAGAGGUACUCAAGAGGCCGAAGAGGAUGGUUUGCUAAACCAUUAGGGGGCUUAUAGCCUCGCGAGGGUUCGAAUCCCUCUCUCUCCGCCA
rnacentral:tRNA from 1 species